rnacentral:rRNA from 1 species
AAAUUGAAGAGUUUGAUCAUGGCUCAGAUUGAACGCUGGCGGCAGGCCUAACACAUGCAAGUCGAGCGGAAACGAGUUAUCUGAACCUUCGGGGAACGAUAACGGCGUCGAGCGGCGGACGGGUGAGUAAUGCCUAGGAAA